rnacentral:tRNA from 1 species
GCCUGGCUGGCUCUGCUGGUAGAGCACGUGACUCUUGAUCUUGAGGUUGUAAGCUUAAGCCCUACGUUGGGUG